GUACUUUCAGAAUACCAAGAUUUCCCCGACUUCUCUCCAGAGCUCUCAGAAUCAAGGCGUGAGACCAUGCCCCUCAAUAUCUCUCCACCAAUACAAGAGCCAGCAUCCCAGGGGGCACAGGAGCCAUUGCCAACAGCACCAACUACACAGAGAACCCCAAGAGCCAGGACCAGGACCCGGAAAGUGCUCACUCCAUGUUAUAUGAAGAGGCUUCAGCACUACUGCGACGAGAACUCCCACCUCUAUCAAACUGUUGCAAGACUUAAAAAGUCCAAGAAACCAAUUGCAUCUCAUGCGCAGCUUCUUCUUGAAGCAGGCAGGUACCUAA